GCAAAGAAAAAAGACGAUGAUAAAAGUGUUCAGUUGCAGUUCAUUUCAAAGUUUAUUGCUGGAUUUAGAAUCAGUCAUACAGGUGUAGCAGGGGAACAGCCAAUCACACGGGGAAUACAAAGGCUUAAAUAGGUGAUUGCAGCCAGGUGUGGGGACUGCUUCCUGCCAUUGUCCUGGACUCUGGUUUGGCUCCCCUGUGGGUUGAACUGAUUUAUACUUUUGCCUGUGCUGUGGCGGGUGGCUGCCUCCGGCUCUAGGCUUUGUUGAUAUAUUGGGAGCAGUUUGUUCACUAAUGGAAUACUCCAGGUAUCUCAGCAGUGGUUGUUUUUAUUUAUUUUUUUUAACUACAUAUUUUAGCGAAAUUCUUAAUAGCCAGUUGGCAAAUACAAAUGAGCUGAAUUAUAUUAACCCAGUUUUAUGCCUUUACUUGUAAGCAUAAUCCCUCACAGCUCAGAGUUAUGCAAAGUGCACACUAAAUGGAGGAACAGUCUGAUUUUACCAGAGUUCUUGAUUUACAAACUGUUAAGAUUUUAGAAACUUAUGUCUUCAACUAAAGGCAUCACUUCAGACUAAAGUUACUUUCUGUGUUUUAAUUUCCUUUUUACCUCCAAGAGGAAGGAAUUAAAUUAAACUUGGCACACUUUGUGAAACCAUAAUGAUUUUGUUGCAGCAGGGCUUCUAGGCAAUAAAUUUUAUACUGUUGGUGUUAUUUCCUAUGAAAUGGUGGCACAUUUGCACAUUACUGUGCCUAAAAACGUGCACAAUCUCUCUUUAUUCUGAUACUGAUUCAUGUUCAUCAUUUAUUGGACUGGAUGCUUAAAGUCAUCUUGGCAAUUUAACAACUUAUUGACUUAACGGGCCCUAUGCAUGUGGAGGAACCACCUCCUCAUGAUGGUUACCCACUGUGGGAUGGCAUCUCAUCAACCAGAAUAAGUUGCUUAUAUGUGAACUUGUGGACUCAACAUUAGCUUUAUUGUCCCUUUAACAAGGACAAUGUUGAAAGUGGGUUGUGUUUUUUAACCUUCCAAUCCCCCCAGAAUUUUCAGACUUGAUCGGUCCUCCAAAUCCUUCUCCAUACACAUGAAUGCACAUUCACUUUUAUCUUUACCUCUUGGCUCAACUGAAGGGGAAAAAAAAAACACAAACGGGGGGUCAAUGCGAGCUGGUUGAUUCAGGCAGAUGCUGGCUGACACCUUCACUUAUAUGCAGCAGUGCCGGCUGCAUUAAUGUUGUCAACACAUGUCAUGUUUAUUGAUUAGCUGGACAUUAAUUACCUGUUUGCAUGGAUAAUUAUUUCCAACUUCAAAGACAUUUAACCUCCAGACCCUGUGUACUGUUCAGCUGGGCAACAAAAUAUCUGCUUCUAAUUGGAGGAUAACGAGUCAUCAGGAAAAACUCAAUUAUUAGGUUUUAAACAUUCAGUUCAAAACUGAACCAGCAAUGGUAAUAAAACACAAACUGCAAGAAUGGAGCAGAAUGACUUUUUUAAAUUUGUGUAAUAAUCUUUCAAAAUAGUCACUUUUAGAAAAUGCAUACUCGGAGUGCAAAUGAGUGCAAUUGAAUAUCGAAUGAAAUUAUAU